rnacentral:tRNA from 1 species
UCGACCAGUAUCCGGUGAGUUAUCUGCCCUCCGAAGGCAGGGGUUGCUGGUUCGAUCCCAGCCGGGCGCGCCA